rnacentral:tRNA from 1 species
GCGGAUGUAGCUCAAUGGCAGAGCGUAAUCUUGCCAAGGUUAAGGUGCGAGUUCGAUUCUCGUCAUCCGCU